GUCCCGUUCGUCCAAUGGUCAGGAUGGCUGGUUUUCAACCAGGAGACAGGGGUUCGACUCCCCUACGGGAUG
rnacentral:tRNA from 1 species